GCAUAUCAAUAAGCGGAGGAAAAGAAACCAACAGGGAUUGCCCUAGUAACGGCGAGUGAAGCGGCAACAGCUCAAAUUUGAAAUCUGGCUCUUUUAGAGUCCGAGUUGUAAUUUGCAGAGGGCGCUUUGGCUUUGGCAGCGGUCCAAGUUCCUUGGAACAGGACGUCACAGAGGGUGAGAAUCCCGUACGUGGUCGCUGGCUAUUGCCGUGUAAAGCCCCUUCGACGAGUCGAGUUGUUUGGGAAUGCAGCUCUAAAUGGGAGGUACAUUUCUUCUAAAGCUAAAUAUUGGCCAGAGACCGAUAGCGCACAAGUAGAGUGAUCGAAAGAUGAAAAGCACUUUGGAAAGAGAGUCAAACAGCACGUGAAAUUGUUGAAAGGGAAGCGCUUGCAGCCAGACUUGCUUGCAGUUGCUCAUCCGGGCUUUUUUGCCCGGUGCACUCUUCUGUAGGCAGGCCAGCAUCAGUUUGGGCGGUAGGAUAAAGGUCUCUGUCACGUACCUCCUUUCGGGGAGGCCUUAUAGGGGAGGCGACAUACUACCAGCCUGGACUGAGGUCCGCGCAUCUGCUAGGAUGCUGGCGUAAUGGCUGUAAGCGGCCCGUCUUGAAACACGGACCAAGGAGUCUAACAUCUAU
rnacentral:rRNA from 1 species